rnacentral:lncRNA from 1 species
CUUAUUUAGCCUCUUAAGUUCCCCCGUCAAAAGUUUAUGGAAAACCUUGAAUUGUGCAAUCCACUUAACUCCAGAAUAUCAAACCUUAACAAAAUAUCCAAGAAACCUAUCAUUGUUAAUCAAGACAUUGAGGAACAUGAAAAGCUUCUAGAGUUUGAGAUCAUUUGGUAUAUCAUGAAUAAUGAUGUGACCACAGCCAGAUAUCCCAGGUGAUCUGAAUUCAGCUCACAGAAAGAAAAAGUAUCAAGCAGUAGUCAUUAACCAUGUUUCAUGCCUAAAGAUCACAGCAUUGCAUCACCAUACAACAUUCUGGAUAACUAAAAAAUCAUGGUGCAUGAUCAACAAUGAUCUUUCACAAUGAUUAACGAAUGAUUAUCUGGUCAGUCAUUCCUCUCUUCUCGUGAACAUUGAAUAUCUUCCCCUCUUCACUAGUAUCAAUUUUGGCCGGAAAAAAAAAAUGAAAAAUGAAAAAAAAAAAAGAGAGAACUUGUGCAACUGGGCAGCUUCCACCCGGUUUGUCAUCACUUUAUCCUUUCCUUCUCUGUUCUCAAAGCUAGAGCACUG